CACACAAAGAGCAGCUGCAGAGGAAAGCAAGCGUGCUGCCUCCCAGCUCCUCAGCUAGCUCAUAUAUGAAGACAGCACAUUAAAGGAAUAUGAAAGAAAGAAAAAAAUGCAAACACAGUAUUUCAAGCAGUGCCGGCUGAAAUGUAAAAACCAGAUGAAAACCUUAAAGCCUUCUACAUAGUAUGCACAGGAAGCACAGAGGGGAGGUAUGCCAGGGGAAUUGGACGUGAUCUGGCUGAAUUUUUAACAGCAUAAUUUUCUACUGCCUGAAACUGCAAGAGGUUUCUGCUGCAAGGAGGCAGACUGUCCCACACAUGGAGCUUUCGCAUCCGGAUUGGAGACUUCUCUGAAAGAGAAGAGUGCAGUUCAAGCAGGCAUUGAUGCCAAAGAAGGAGUUACUGGGUGAAAUUGUAUUGACUGAGUCAAGCAGGAAGUCAAACUACCUAAUUAUAAUGAUACCUCUGGCCUUAAAAAUCUAUCUCUUCCUGCAUAAAUAAUGCAUCAGGCAUUAUACAUGGUAUGCAAAAAUGAUGUGAUUAAUUAUAUCUGAUUUUCAUUAUAUGCACAGCUGCUAGUCUAUACUUAUCAAAGUUACUCCUUUAUAAAUGUAUUAUAUUUGAGAAAUUGAGGAUAUCAAGAAAAAUGUGAGCCAAUAUGUUGUACAGGGUUCACAUUCAUAAUCUGGUUAAUAAUUUUCUGUGUCUUGUCUUCUCUUUUUCAGUUGUUCUUAUCCUUUUCUUUUUCCUGGUUACUGCUAAGUAGAGACUAGAAACAACCAAUAGAAAUUUGUCCAUAUAGAAAUUGUUUGUUUUCCUCUAUGCCAAUCAUUCUCCAAGUUCUUAAAGGGACUCAGCGUUUACCCACCAAUGUAAUUACCCACGUCUUCAAGAGAGUUCAGAGCUCAUUCAAUCAUGAAACACAAGAGUUAGACUUUCAAAAAUGUUCACUUUGUGUAACUCAUGUUUUGAAAUUCUUAUAUUUUAGACACAUCUGGCAAGGGUAAGGAUUAGAAAGACCGGAAUUCAAAAUGUAGAUGAAAGCCACUAACAAGAGAUAAUUGUUUGAAGGUAGGGGAGGAGGAAAGUUCUGCAGCAAGACCACCUCACCAGCAGACCCAAUGCAGGAACUGGGAGGUAUGAAAUGCAUGGGCAAGAGCACCCCAGGAAGCCUUUGUGGAGGCUGCUGGGAGCGCUCAGGCUUUCUGGGGGCUCGUUUUUAUGGAAAUAAAGUGAACAGCACUUCAGAAGCAUUCUCCAAACCUUUCUAAUAUGGCAAAGCCACAUUUAGCUUUAUUAUUGCAGAUGACAAACUAAGUUACAGAGAAAGGCUAGUCAAAAGUCAGAACUGAAAACCAAUGGUUUCCAGUAAAGCUGCUGGCAAAGGCUUGGCAGCGUUCAGUAGGAAGGCAGGAUGUCAGUGCUCAUAAUAUUUCCAUAUGUACUUCAACAGAAAUAACCUCUUCCAAAAGUUACUUUAAUAGAAAAUAUCUGAAUCCAAGCAGAAGUACCUGCACCAAAAUUAUCCCAGAAAAUUCAGGCAAAAAAAAGAGUACGAUAUUAUUUUUUUUUCCUUUUAAUAUCAGUCAACAGCACAAAAAUUUCUGUUUCUGCUAGAAAAGUAUAGAAUACCCUCUCUCAGAAAAACAAACAAACAAAUAAACAAACAACAACAAACCACCACCACAACAACAGCAACCACCAGCCAAACAAAAAACACCUCAGCAAAACAAAACAAAACCCCAUCAAAAACAAAAAAGAAAGAAGCAGACCAUGCUGCCAGGACAUUUUAGGAGUUAUAGCUGAAAUCUUGAAAACAGUCAAGAGAAUGUUUGAUGCAUCAGAAAGGGUUGUUACAUGACAUCUGGUGUGUGACCUUCUGUGAAAAUGAAGGUGUUAUCCUGCUUCAGGUUGAUAUUGAUUUCAGUGGGGGUCUGGUAAAAAAGCAAAGUCCAGACCUCCUCUGUUCCACCCACAUGAUUUGGACGCUUCUUUCCAGUUAAUGUCACAGAAAGCCAAAAGCUUCCCUCCAAUAUUACCUAACUCUGGAGAUGUCUAAAACUUAUUGGGAUCUUCCUGAAAAUUCCCAAGGUGCCUCAGCUUGUGUUCCUACAUGUUGUAAGGAGCACCUGGCUGCAGAGCUGGCACCAACUGCUGCUUCAGGGCCAUGGUGAUGAAAAGUUCAGAUGGAGAAGUGCCUGGGGCUGCAGGUUUAUAUAGUUUUUUGUUUUAUUUGCUGGUGCAGCUAGCUGAUGAGAUUCCUCCCCCAUCUUUGUUCCCACCCCCACAUCGCAGCUUGCUUAUUCCUCAGUUGCGCUCUUGCAACUGUCUGUGGGACUUUGCUGGAAAUGGGACUUUUAAAAUGAGCCAUCUUUGGAAAAACUUUAGAAAAUUACUGUGUUUCAGUACAACUGACUCUUGUGGUCUGGCUUACAGCUUCGCUCCAUGUGCAAUUACAUCAGAAAAACUGAGCAGGCAAAAAUCUGUGAUGCUAAAACAGGAACAAGAUUGGAGGAGGGAUACAAAGGUGGUGAGCAGGCUUUGCUGUGGGAGGGAAUUGCAGUACUGGUUCCCUGAGGGAUGCAGCCCAUCAGCUGUGCUCUGAGCAUGCUGAAUUCCUCUUGACAAAACUGUGGUCAUUUCAACCCAGGUCCACUUUUUGUGCAAUAGCCGUGAGGAUUGAUUUUGCAGCCAAGAUGUAUCCAUAUAUGAAUUUUAGACCUUGCCUGACAUGAUGGGACUUAAGACAUGCAUUUUGAAGACUACCAGAACAACCAGGUAGAAGGGCAGGUCCAAUUUGUUGAAGUAAAACUUUACAGAACUGGCCAUCUUAUUGCUUCUAUUUUUUAAUAAUGACUAUGCAGUGCAAAAAGAGAGUAACAAAUAUCAGUCAUGUAGUCAAAUCCCACUGUAACUGCAAAGACUUGAAUACUGAGGUCAAGAUAAUUUAGCUGGGUGAAAUUAAAAACAAACAAACAAACAUAAGAUUCACCUCAUUAAACAAACUCUGCUUUCUGAGCAAUUUUCUCCUUGUGGAACUGCAUUAACAGUAAAAUUUAAGGCAACACUAUGAGCAGAAUUGCUAUUUUUUAGGUCUGGAAUAUGAAACUCAUGAUAUUAAAAAAAUAGGCUAAUUAGUGUAAUUCUGCUCUUGCUAUGGAUGCCAGGGAUCAUAACAGCAGUAAAAUAUAAGACCACAUGUGAGGCCUUCCUCAGUGAAAACUCAAAAAUUGCUUAUCAUAGUGCGACACAAGAAGUGGGGAGCACGGAAAAGAAGUUGCUGUGGCAGUGCCUGAAGUCAGGUUCUCUGGUGAGUUGCCCUAUGCUAAAUGCAGUCUCUAAAUCCCUUGCAGCAGACUGAUUUGGCUGUUUUCAUGCACUACUGACUUCCAGGUGAAUACUUUCUGGCACAAAAGUAGGUUAGAAAUAAAACAGAUUUGAGGAGCAUGGCCUGUGUGUUGAGCUGCACAGUUAAACAUGCCAAGCUUUGCUUUCAGGCAAGUAUUUUCAGCUCCCAGUUUGGUUCACUUGAAGUGGAGACGCAUUUGCAAUUGGCACAGCAGAUGCUGGCACAAGGCAGUAAGUGGCAGCCAGGAAUGAAGUCAGGAAUUUGUUAGCAGAGCCAGAAGCGCAUCACCGAAGAAAAGCGUUCACCUUAAGGACCAGAGAAUUAAUGUGAUUGACCAGACACUGCAGUGCUCUGUAUCUCUGACAGUUAUCUCCUGCGCUUCACAAUCGGGAGUCAUGCAAUCAUCUCCGAAUGUCACCCUGUCUGUUUUUUUCCUAUGGUGUUUGCCUAAGAUAUAUGGUGUGGGUCGAGAGCAGAGAAAGAGAGAGAUCACCCCACUUUUGAAAUCACUGAAAAUCUCCAAAGCACUUCAGGAUAUUGGGUGAUGUUAUCCAUGUGUGUUUUUCUGGGGGGUGGUUGUUUUUCUCAGAGGAAGCAGGGAAGUUAAUUAGACUCUACUGAAGUAACAAUGAAGAUUUAAAUCUAGGUCUUUCACUAUUCAUGAGCAAACAGACUAAAGAUGGUUGUACCUGAUCUCGCUGGGGCACCUUGCACAUGUAUCUGGUGGCUUUUACUGCAGCAAGCCUUUCCUAGUUAAGGUUUUCAAAAGUCUUUCAGAGCCUGCUACUCAUCUGGAUAAUCUAAAUAUUUAAUUAUGUGUACGUAUAUGUACUUAAAAAAUAAUUGAUUGACUGAUGGAAUGACUUGUAUUCUAUGGACAUAUUACAGUAUUUUGGUUUUAUUUAUUUUGGAGUGGCAUCACAUAUUAAAAAACAUCCAACCAAAACAGAAAA